UAAAAUACAGCAAAUGUAACAAUUGGUGAUGUUACUGAGAUUAUACUAUUACACCAUCUGGAUUUCUGUUGUUUUCUACUGUAGAUCUAAGAGUAAUUACCUAAAUCCUCAUUCAGAGUGUAUUACUAUAAAAUGCAAUUCAUUGUGAGAGUAGUAUCACAUGUAAACUACAAUAUACAGCAUCAUUUUUAACUUAAGGAGUAAGUUGCAGCUACACUAUUUGAAGUAUUUGAAGUAUAACUGAAGUAUACUAAGAAGUACAAUGAAAUACCCAGCAAGCAUUGCAGUGCUUUAACUGUAAAAUUAAAACAACUAUGAAACAAAUAAUUGAUGUUUUAAACAAGAAUUUGUCAGAAAUUCUUGUGUAAUGUCUUUUACCUUCUGAACAGAGUAAGUGGGAUAAAAAAAAAUGUUUAAACCGUGAGUGAAAACGGUUAAUAGUUAAUAAAGCUCAACUCUCAAAUCAUUUUCUCACCUGUUUGCAAUAUAAUUCUGGUACUUGAACUAUGAGUGUAGUUCUCUGCAAAGGAAGCCUUCUGAUAGUUGGAACUAUUAUCUGACUGUCUGGGGAAUGGAGUGAUUUGUUACAUGUGAAAAAUGUGUUUCAACUGGAUUUUAAUUACUAUGUUUCAACCAGAAGUAACUCAAAUAUAAACUAAAAAGUAAAUCAAUAGUAUACUUGUAAGUUUAGUAUUGUGUUAGAGUAGAGUAUAUUUUAAGUAUACUCUUAUAGACUGGAAAGGACAUUAUGUUAGUACAGUUAUAGUGAACAAAAAGUACAUCCAAAAGUUCAUUUCAAGUAUACUUCUAUAUACUAAAACGGGGGCCAAUGUAGGUAACGUAUACUUAGACUGAUUUCCUUUCUAUAUGUUACAUUUAGACUAAUGUUUAAAAGUUACUUCAUUUAGCAGGGUGUAGCUUUUUACUCUUCUUAUUCUUUUUUAUACUGGAACUUCAUUUUUUCUGUAUAAGGUGGUACUUUUAAGACACCUCUGCCUAACUACAGUGAACUAACCAGAAGUCUCGGAAUAUGCUCUGGUGGUCAUUUUACACAAGUUCAGGUGUCACAUCCAUGAAACCUACACCACUAACCAGCAUCAGUCCUACAACUUCACUCUCAAAUUUAAUAAAUUCUGGGACAAGCAGAAACUGUAUUUUUAGCGGUGCAUUAAUGCACUCUCCUUGUAGCACCACUUCGUCUUGGUUCAGAAGAGAUGUCCUGGAUAUACAUGAUAAUGUAACACGGGUGUUUUUGUUUGUUCAUGUUUAGCACGUUGGGUUGUGUUUUUAAAGCGAAUGUUACGUUUUUAAAGCGUGUUAUGCGACAGGUGUGUGUAGCACUGGUUACACAUCUCAAUGGGAGAGCAUUAGUCGAGACCACACCUUUACCUGACGUACAACGUGACGUAUGGCGCACACUUUCAAAACAACAAUGGCGGAUAGAAGAUAUUGAUCGAGGCGGCUAAUGCUCCUUUCGCUGGUUGCCAACAACCAUUAAAUAACAAGAAGAAGAAAAUAUUGAUCUGCUUUUCUUAGUUUUGCACGUUUAAGACGCAAUUCAGACUCAAACAAAGCUGCAAAGCAGGAGAACAACAUGGCCAUCAACUAUUCUGUGCCACAGAUCCAGUUCGCUGCAGCACAGAGUGAUGAUGAGAUGGUGGAAGAACAACAGAGACAAUUUACGGACCGUUAAGAUGUGCAACUUAGAAGUAGUCAGAGGUAACUGGAUGGAGUUCAGUCAGGUUAAAUGCACGGUUGAUUGGAUUAUAUCUGAAGAUCGUAUGCUAUUCGUGACAACUCUACUUGACUCCAAAUUUCUCGUCCAUGAGGGAGUAUCUCAAAAGUAAAUGAAACAACUAAACUUAACACUUUUUCCCUAAAACGGACUGACAUGGGAAACAUUAAAGUUGGACUGACACCAGCUAAUCAGUCUGAAGAACAAGAAGGGAGACCACUGAGGAGAAGUUCUAUGAGUUCACGGGUGACCUCAGCUGUCAAGUUCCUGGAUGUGGAUGGCAACAGACCAGAGAACCUGAAUGACACCAUUACUCUGAAGCCUUGCCCUGCUGCAUCAGCUGAAACAUCAAGCCAUCCACGUCCACCCCUCCUCCUCCACGUCCACCACUAUGUACAACCAUUACUCCAGCUCUUGGGUCUCACACUUACAGAUUCCUUGGGAAAGAUUUCCACUCCGAUUGUCGCAUGCAAUCACAAGAGGGGACAGACCUCAUCCAGAGGACAGGAGAAGUCAGCUAAUAGUGAUAGAUGAUGAAUGAAUUAUCCCUAAGUAACUCAUUAUUUCAAAUCACAACUCAAUGUUACUGUAUGUUACUAUUUAUUGUGGCAUGUUUUAAGGUUUUUUGUAAGGAUAAACCCUGAAGAGGGAACAAAAUGUACCUCCAAGGUUGGGACAAGCAGAAAGACUGGGACCACUGUGAAGCGAAAGAUGAUCCAUGGCCCAUGCUUUCUGGACAUUUACACAAGACGAACAACAAUGAAGACAAGCUCUCUCGCCAUCUUGCAAGGCGCUGUCUCUGUCCAAUAGGUUUUUUGAGUGCAACAGUUUUGAUUUUUUUUUUCCUUCUUUUACCCGUUUGUUAAAAAUUAUUUCAGCUACUUACACUUUAGUUGUCACAUGUAUUGGCUCACCCUACAAAUCAAUUAACUCAGUCCACUAAGCAAGGUCAGGGUUCAGUGCAGGUCAGUCAAGUUCCUUCACACCACACACACUCAUCCAUGUCCUUGUGGACCCUGCUUUGUGCAUUGAUUUGGUGGUGUGAGCCAGUAUUUUGGAUAAAGUGUAUAUAAAGGCAGAAGUUUGGGGCUUGAUAUUCUAUUCAUUACAAUUCAGUUUAUUUGUAUGGUGCCAACAAAAUGAAUGCAAGGCACUUCACAUUGUAGGUUUAAGACCCUACAAAAUAUAACUGAGAAAACCCAACACUUGAGCAUAUGUUGUCUGCCAUGAUAUGGAUAUGACAUAAUAUCGUUAUUGUUUGUACAACCAUCUGAGAAAAUAAUGGAUUACAUGGUUUAGUAAAAACAAGUGCUUCCUCAGUGAAAAUAUGUUUUCAGUUCUUUUCAGUUUUUGUUUUUGGAAAUGUGUAUUUCAUCAGGGAAAAAUCAGAACAAAUAAAAAGUGGUGUGAAGCACAUGAA